GGAGCUGGCCAGACAAUCGCCGCCCGACCACCUAAUUGCACGGUAUAAGCCAUGAAUAUUGGCUUUCAUGCAAUUAGGUGGUCGGGGGGAGGAAAGUCCGGGCUCCAUAGGGCAGGGUGCCAGGUAACGCCUGGGCGGCGCAAGCCGACGACAAGUGCAGCAGAGAGCAGACCGCCAACCCCGGCUCGCCGGGCGGUAAGGGUGAAAGGGUGCGGUAAGAGCGCACCGCGCAACUGGUAACAGUUUGUGGCAUGGUAAACUCCACCCGGAGCAAGACCAAAUAGGGUUCCUUGGCGCGGCCCGCGUCGGAACCGGGUAGGUUGCUUGAGUCAGUGAGCGAUUACUGACCUAGAUGAAUGAUUGUCUUAGACAGAACCCGGCUUAUCGGCCAGCUCCCCUU
rnacentral:RNase_P_RNA from 1 species